AGAGCGCAGGGUGGAUGCCUUGGCACUAAGAGCCGAAGAAAGACGUGAUAAGCUGCGAAAAGCUGCGGGGAGAUGCAAAUAAUCCUUGAUCCGCAGAUGUCUGAAUGGGGAAACCCGGUACGAAGAACUCGUAUCAUCCAUACGCCAAUCCAUAACGUAUGGAGGGGAACCCGGUGAACUGAAACAUCUAAGUAGCCGGAGGAAGAGAAAGAAACAUCGAUUUUGUUAGUAGCGGCGAGCGAAAGCGAAAGAGGCCAAACCGGAGUGCGUGCACUCCGGGGUUCGGACCGCAUUUAAGAUUCAGUGAUUCUAGCAGAAAGGUUUGGGAAAGCCUGCCGGAGAGGGUGAAAGCCCCGUAAGCGAAAGGAGAACUGACUGAGCGGGAUCCAGAGUACAUCGAGACACGAGAAACCUUGAUGGAAUGAGCGGGGACCACCCCGUAAGCCUAAAUACUACUUAGUGACCGAUAGCGCAUAGUACUGUGAAGGAAAGGUGAAAAGGACCCCGGGAGGGGAGUGAAAGAGAACCUGAAACCCUGUGUUUACAAGCUGUGGAAGUUCUUUAAAUGAACAACCGCGUACUUUUUGUAGAACGGUCCGGCGAGUUGCGGAUACUGGCAAGGUUAAGCACUUAAGGUGCGGAGCCGAAGGGAUACCAAGUCUUAACAGGGCGUAAAGUCAGUGUACGCAGACCCGAAACCGGGUGAUCUAUCCAUGUCCAGGUUGAAGUUGUCGUAAAAGACAAUGGAGGACCGAAGCCACAUCCGUUGAAAAGGGUGGGCAUGAGGUGUGGAUAGGGGAGAAAUUCCAAUCGAACCCGGAGAUAGCUGGUUCUCCUCGAAAUAGCUUUAGGGCUAGCCUCGAUUUAGUCUUAUGGAGGUAGAGCACUGAAUUUCCGCGGGGGCGUCAAAGCUUACCAAAGAAUAUCAAACUCCGAAUGCCAUGUAGAUGAUGAUCGGGAGUCAGACUGCACGAGAUAAGUUGGGCAGUCAAAAGGGAAAGAGCCCAGACCACCGGCUAAGGUCCCAAAGUGCGUGUUAAGUGGAAAAGGAUGUGGGAAUUCGAAGACAACUAGGAUGUUGGCUCAGAAGCAGCCAUACAUUCAAAGAGUGCGUAACAGCUCACUAGUCGAGAGUUCCUGCGCCGAAAAUGUCCGGGGCUGAAACACGACACCGAAGCCGUGGACUCGCAAUGCGAGUGGUAGAGGAGCAUUCUUAAAACCGACGAAGCUGUACCGGAAGGAGCAGUGGAGGGAUAAGAAGAGAGAAUGCCGGAAUGAGUAGCGAGAGAAAGGUGGGAAUCCUUUCGGCCGAAUAUCUAAGGUUUCCAGAGUAAAGCUGAUCUGCUCUGGGUAAGUCGGGGCCUAAGCACAGGUCGCAAGACGUAAGCGAUGGAUAACAGGUUUAGAUUCCUGUACCACGCAUUAUCAGAACUGUAGGGACGCAUGUGGAAAGCACGAGCCGGGAAUGGAAAGACCGGUACAAGCGAGGUAGGUGUACAAUAGGCAAAUCCGUUGUAUGAUCCGAAGACGUGAUGUGGAGCGAAAUAAAGUAGUGAAGCGUGUGAGCCAUGUGCCGAGAAAAGCUGCUAUUGUGUAAUGCGUGCCCGUACCGUAAACCGACACAGGUGGAUGAGGAGAGAAUCCUAAGGCCGACGGAAGAAGCAUUGUUAAGGAAUUCGGCAAAAUGACCCCGUAACUUCGGGAGAAGGGGUGCCUGCGAGAGCAGGCCGCAGAGAAUAGGCUCAAGCAACUGUUUAGCAAAAACACAGGUCUAUGCGAAACCGAAAGGUGAAGUAUAUGGGCUGACGCCUGCCCGGUGCUGGAAGGUUAAGAGGAGAGGUUAGCGCAAGCGAAGCUUUGAAUUUAAGCCCCAGUAAACGGCGGCCGUAACUAUAACGGUCCUAAGGUAGCGAAAUUCCUUGUCGGGUAAGUUCCGACCCGCACGAAAGGCGUAAUGAUUUGAGCACUGUCUCGACAAUGCAUCCGGUGAAAUUGAAGUACCAGUGAAGAUGCUGGUUACCCGCGCCAGGACGGAAAGACCCCAUGGAGCUUUACUCCAGUUUGAUACUGGGAUUCGGUACUGCAUGUACAGGAUAGGUGGGAGACGAAGAAGGAUGGACGCCAGUCUGUCCGGAGUCGCUGUUGGGAUACCACCCCUGUAGUACUGGGUUUCUAACCAGUUACCAUGAUCUGGUAAUGGGACAAUGUCAGGCGGGGAGUUUGACUGGGGCGGUCGCCUCCGAAAGGGUAUCGGAGGCGCUCAAAGGUUCCCUCAGAAUGGUUGGAAACCAUUCGAAGAGU
rnacentral:rRNA from 1 species